UACGAAGGGGGCUAGCGUUGUUCGGAAUUACUGGGCGUAAAGCGCGCGCAGGCGGUCUUCCAAGUCAGUGGUGAAAGCCCGGAGCUCAACUCCGGAACUGCCAUUGAAACUGUUAGACUUGAGGAUGAGAGAGGUGAGUGGAAUUCCCAGUGUAGAGGUGAAAUUCGUAGAUAUCUGGAGGAACACCGGUGGCGAAGGCGGCAUCCUGGACCGGCAUUGACGCUGAGGAGCGAAAGCCAGGGAGCAAAGCGGG
rnacentral:rRNA from 1 species